rnacentral:rRNA from 1 species
UGGGGAAUUUUGGACAAUGGGGGCAACCCUGAUCCAGCCAUGCCGCGUGAGUGAAGAAGGCCUUCGGGUUGUAAAGCUCUUUCGGCCGGGAAGAAAUCGUGGUCUCUAACAUAGGCCAUGGAUGACGGUACCGGACUAAGAAGCACCGGCUAACUACGUGCCAGCAGCCGCGGUAAUACGUAGGGUGCGAGCGUUAAUCGGAAUUACUGGGCGUAAAGCGUGCGCAGGCGGUUUUGUAAGACAGAUGUGAAAUCCCCGGGCUUAACCUGGGAACUGCGUUUGUGACUGCAAGGCUAGAGUACGGCAGAGGGGGGUGGAAUUCCUGGUGUAGCAGUGAAAUGCGUAGAGAUCAGGAGGAACACCGAUGGCGAAGGCAGCCCCCUGGGCCUGUACUGACGCUCAUGCACGAAAGCGUGGGGAGCAAACAGG